rnacentral:rRNA from 1 species
GACGAACGCUGGCGGCGUGCUUAACACAUGCAAGUCGAACGGAAAGGCCUCUUUCGGGGGGUACUCGAGUGGCGAACGGGUGAGUAACACGUGAGUAACCUGCCCUUGACUUUGGGAUAACUUCAGGAAACUGGGGCUAAUACCGGAUAGGAGCUCCUGCUGCAUGGUGGGGGUUGGAAAGUUUCGGCGGUUGGGGAUGGACUCGCGGCUUAUCAGCUUGUUGGUGGGGUAGUGGCUUACCAAGGCUUUGACGGGUAGCCGGCCUGAGAGGGUGACCGGCCACAGGGGGCCGAGAAGGGGGCCAGGCCGCCGGGGGGAGGCGGCGGGGGGAAAUUUGGAACAGGGGGGGGAGGCGUGAGGCAGAAACGCCGGGGGGGGGAAACCGGCUUUGGGGUGGAAACCCGCUUUGGCCGGGUAAAAAGGGGGGGUGAGGGUAGGGGAAAAAAAAGCCCCGCCUAACAACGCG